GACGAACGCUGGCGGCGUGCCUAAUACAUGCAAGUCGAACGAGAGCGACCGGUGCUUGCACUGGUCAAUCUAGUGGCGAACGGGUGAGUAACACGUGGGUAACCUGCCCAUCAGAGGGGGAUAACAUUCGGAAACGGAUGCUAAAACCGCAUAGGUCUUCGAGCCGCAUGGCUUGAAGAGGAAAAGAGGCGCAAGCUUCUGCUGAUGGAUGGACCCGCGGUGCAUUAGCUAGUUGGUGAGGUAACGGCUCACCAAGGCAGUGAUGCAUAGCCGACCUGAGAGGGUGAUCGGCCACAUUGGGACUGAGACACGGCCCAAACUCCUACGGGAGGCAGCAGUAGGGAAUCUUCCGCAAUGGACGCAAGUCUGACGGAGCAACGCCGCGUGAGUGAAGAAGGUUUUCGGAUCGUAAAACUCUGUUGUUAGAGAAGAACAAGUGCUAGAGUAAUUGUUAGCGCCUAGA
rnacentral:rRNA from 1 species